rnacentral:sRNA from 1 species
CCACCCAAUGCACCGCCCACACCAGACUCUAGCGUACCGCCUGCACAGGCGAGACCACUGGUCAGGGUGAGUGACAACAACAGAAUCGAGGAAUACUUCAUGGAAUGAACCUCAGAGGGAUGACGGGCCGAUCCUGAGGUUAUGAAGACGAUGUGGCAACGCAAAUCCGACGAGUAACACGACUGAUACACAAAUACCUAAGUUACUGUUUUUGCUAAGGAACUUAAGUGGCUUUUGAGGGUCUGAGGUUACUUGAUCAAGGCCCGUUUCUCACGAAACGGGCCUUUUUUGUGGGUGUGGAAAACCUGCUGAAUUCUACCUUGUGGGAGCGAAUUCAUUCGCGAAGAGGCCGGUACAUUCAACGCAUCUUCAUCGGCCUCAACAUCGCCUUCGCGAAUGAAUUCGC